ACAUUUUUAAUUUCAUAGGCUGUCAGGUGAAGAAAUAUGUCGAGCACGCGCCGCAGUCGUUUGUCUUCACGGAUGUGCCGUGACAGUGAACGCAAAUGGAAAUCUUCGUCAAAAGUUUGAAGUCAAAAUGUUUUAGCUCACCCAACACAUUUUUCCAACUUGAAGACUAAAUUAGACCUUUGGCAUGUUUGUUUGGCAUAUAUGUAACACUUUUAAUUAUUUAUGAAAUAAAUUGUGAAAAUGAAAAA